rnacentral:rRNA from 1 species
GAUGAACGCUGGCGGCGUGCCUAAUACAUGCAAGUCGAGCGAACGGACGAGAAGCUUGCUUCUCUGAUGUUAGCGGCGGACGGGUGAGUAACACGUGGAUAACCUACCUAUAAGACUGGGAUAACUUCGGGAAACCGGAGCUAAUACCGGAUAAUAUUUUGAACCGCAUGGUUCAAAAGUGAAAGACGGUCUUGCUGUCACUUAUAGAUGGAUCCGCGCUGCAUUAGCUAGUUGGUAAGGUAACGGCUUACCAAGGCAACGAUGCAUAGCCGAUCUGAGAGGGUGAUCGGCCACACUGGAACUGAGACACGGUCCAGACUCCUACGGGAGGCAGCAGCAGGGAAUCUUCCGCAAAGGGCGAAAGCCUGACGGAGCAACGCCGCGUGAGUGAUGAAGGUCUUCGGAUCGUAAAACUCUGUUAUUAGGGAAGAACAUAUGUGUAAGUAACUGUGCACAUCUUGACGGUACCUAAUCAGAAAGCCACGGCUAACUACGUG